GAUGAACGCUAGCGGCAGGCCUAACACAUGCAAGUCGAGGGGUAGCAGGAUUAAGCUUGCUUAAUUGCUGACGACCGGCGCACGGGUGCGUAACGCGUAUGCAACCUACCUUAUACUGGGGUAUAGCCCGGAGAAAUUCGGAUUAAUCCCCCAUAGUACUAAUGAAUCGCAUGGUUUAUUAGUUAAAGCAUUGCGGUAUAAGAUGGGCAUGCGUCCUAUUAGCUAGAUGGUGAGGUAACGGCUCACCAUGGCUACGAUAGGUAGGGGGCCUGGGGGGGUGGUCCCCCACACGGGUCCUGGGACACGGACCAGACUCCUACGGGAGGCAGCAGUGGGGAGUAUUGGGCAAUGGGCGCAAGCCUGAACCAGCCAUGCCGCGUGCAGGAAGAAUGCCCUAUGGGUUGUAAACUGCUUUUAUUUGGGAAUAAACCUCUUUACGUGUAGAGAGCUGAAGGUACCAAAUGAAUAAGCACCGGCUAACUCCGUGCCAGCCGCCGCGGUAA
rnacentral:rRNA from 1 species